GACGAACGCUGGCGGCGUGCUUAACACAUGCAAGUCGAACGGAAAGGCCCUGAUUUGUGGGGUGCUCGAGUGGCGAACGGGUGAGUAACACGUGAGUAACCUGCCCUUGACUUUGGGAUAACUUCAGGAAACUGGGGCUAAUACCGGAUAGGAGCUCCUGCUGCAUGGUGGGGGUUGGAAAGUUUCGGCGGUUGGGGAUGGACUCGCGGCUUAUCAGCUUGUUGGUGGGGUAGUGGCUUACCAAGGCUUUGACGGGUAGCCGGCCUGAGAGGGUGACCGGCCACAUUGGGACUGAGAUACGGCCCAGACUCCUACGGGAGGCAGCAGUGGGGAAUAUUGCACAAUGGGCGGAAGCCUGAUGCAGCAACGCCGCGUGCGGGAUGACGGCCUUCGGGUUGUAAACCGCUUUCGCCUGUGACGAAGCGUGAGUGACGGUAAUGGGUAAAGAAGCACCGGCUAACUACGUG
rnacentral:rRNA from 1 species